AGUGAACGCUGGCGGUAGGCCUAACACAUGCAAGUCGAACGGCAGCACAGUAAGAGCUUGCUCUUACGGGUGGCGAGUGGCGGACGGGUGAGGAAUACAUCGGAAUCUACUUUUUCGUGGGGGAUAACGUAGGGAAACUUACGCUAAUACCGCAUACGACCUACGGGUGAAAGCAGGGGAUCUUCGGACCUUGCGCGACUGAAUGAGCCGAUGUCGGAUUAGCUAGUUGGCGGGGUAAAGGCCCACCAAGGCGACGAUCCGUAGCUGGUCUGAGAGGAUGAUCAGCCACACUGGAACUGAGACACGGUCCAGACUCCUACGGGAGGCAGCAGUGGGGAAUAUUGGACAAUGGGCGCAAGCCUGAUCCAGCCAUACCGCGUGGGUGAAGAAGGCCUUCGGGUUGUAAAGCCCUUUUGUUGGGAAGGAAAAGCAGCAGGUUAAUACCCCGCUGUUCUGACGGUACCCAAAGAAUAAGCACCGGCUAACUUCGUG
rnacentral:rRNA from 1 species